rnacentral:rRNA from 1 species
CAGCAGCCGCGGUAAUACGUAGAGUGCGAGCGUUAAUCGGAAUUACUGGGCGUAAAGCGUGCGCAGGCGGUUGUGUAAGACAGGUGUGAAAUCCCCGGGCUUAACCUGGGAACUGCGCUUGUGACUGCACAGCUAGAGUAUGGCAGAGGGGGGUGGAAUUCCACGUGUAGCAGUGAAAUGCGUAGAUAUGCGGAGGAACACCGAUGGCGAAGGCAACCCCCUGGGCCUGCACUGACGCUCGUGCACGAAAGCUAGGGGAGCAAAUGGGAUUAGAGACCCGAGUAGUACCUGUCUCUUAUAC